UUUAAACGGUUAUUUUAGGUUGUACUUUUUCUUUAAAAGGAAAUAGAACUUGUUAUCUCCAUUCUGUUUCUGAUUGUUAGCUCCCUUUUCUUCUUUCUUUUCAUCUCUCUUACACUUGAACCACUUGAACCAUGCACUGCAUCUAUUAUCACCCUGUUUUCGAUGAUGUUCUCACCAUUGACCUUAGAUGUUUUUAAGAAGUUGAUAUUGCAAACAUGGGUUUGAAACUCUUGGC
rnacentral:lncRNA from 1 species